UUCGGGUUCGAACUCGGGACCUUGUGCUUGCAAGGCAGGCGGAACUGAGCUAAAUUCUGGCCCAAUAUUUCUACCAUCAAUAAUUUUAUACCAGUAGACUAAUUUUGUUCUAAAUGCAUAUGCUCAUUUAUUGUAUCAAGACUAUCUGACAACCAUGAAAGGCUCCAUCCAGGACACCAGGAGCUAGCAAGUUGUCUCCUGAGAAGAAAAAGGGGUCCACUUGAGGAGGGGCUUGAUUUAUGGAAUGAACGAGUUGGCAUUAAUUGGAAUGCAGAGAUUUCUUUUAUGUUGUUCAAAAAUGGGAAAGGGAAGUUCCAUGCCAACCCACAUGUGCAGAUACCACCCGUGUGCACUGGCACCAAGUUCUAAAGAGCAAAAUGCUCCCCAGGUUCUAACUGUGACCUCCAUCACUUGACCAGUAAGAAGCCAUCCAGGGAGGAGACAGAUACCAGGGAGCCAGAGU
rnacentral:lncRNA from 1 species